rnacentral:rRNA from 1 species
GAUGAACGCUGGCGGCGUGCCUAAUACAUGCAAGUCGAGCGAACAGACGAGGAGCUUGCUCCUUUGACGUUAGCGGCGGACGGGUGAGUAACACGUGGGUAACCUACCUAUAAGACUGGGAUAACUUCGGGAAACCGGAGCUAAUACCGGAGAAUAUCUCGAACCGCAUGGUUCGAUAGUGAAAGAUGGCUCUGCGAUCACUUAUAGAUGGACCUGCGCCGUAUUAGCUAGUUGGUAAGGUAACGGCUUACCAAGGCAACGAUACGUAGCCGACCUGAGAGGGUGAUCGGCCACACUGGAACUGAGACACGGUCCAGACUCCUACGGGAGGCAGCAGUAGGGAAUCUUCCGCAAUGGGCGAAAGCCUGACGGAGCAACGCCGCGUGAGUGAUGAAGGUCUUCGGAUCGUAAAACUCUGUUAUUAGGGAAGAACAAAAGUGUAAGUAACUGUGCACGUCUUGACGGUACCUAAUCAGAAAGCCACGGCUAACUACGUG